rnacentral:rRNA from 1 species
AACGAACGCUGGCGGCAUGCCUAACACAUGCAAGUCGAACGAGACCUUCGGGUCUAGUGGCGCACGGGUGCGUAACGCGUGGGAACCUGCCCUUAGGUUCGGAAUAACUCCCCGAAAGGGGUGCUAAUACCGGAUAAUGUCUUCGGACCAAAGAUUUAUCGCCUUUGGAUGGGCCCGCGUUGGAUUAGCUAGUUGGUAGGGUAAAAGCCUACCAAGGCGACGAUCCAUAGCUGGUCUGAGAGGAUGAUCAGCCACACUGGGACUGAGGCACGGCCCAGACUCCUACGGGAGGCAGCAGUGGGGAAUAUUGGACAAUGGGCGAAAGCCUUAUCCAGCAAUGCCGCGUGAGUGAUGAAGGCCUUAGGGUUGUAAAGCUCUUUUACCCGGGAUGAUAAUGACAGUACCGGGAGAAUAAGCUCCGGCUAACUCCGUG